AUACAGAGGGUGCGAGCGUUAAUCGGAAUUACUGGGCGUAAAGCGCGCGUAGGCGGCUUAUUAAGUCAGAUGUGAAAUCCCCGGGCUCAACCUGGGAACUGCAUCUGAUACUGGUAAGCUAGAGUUUUGGAGAGGGAAGUAGAAUUUCAGGUGUAGCGGUGAAAUGCAUAGAGAUCUGAAGGAAUACCAGUGGCGAAGGCGACUUCCUGGCCAAAAACUGACGCUGAGGUGCGAAAGCGUGGGGAGCAAACAGGAUUAGAUACCCUAGUAGUCC
rnacentral:rRNA from 1 species